rnacentral:tRNA from 1 species
CCCUGGUGGCUCAAAUGGUAAAUAGCCUGCCUGCAAUGCAGGAGACCCAGGUUCAAUCCCUGGGUCAGGAA